UUCUCUGAGAUGGCUUGGGUUUCUGUAAGUUCUCUGAGAUGGCUGGGGUUUCUGUAAGUCCUCUGAGAUGGCUGGGGUUUCUGUAAGUUCUCUGAGAUGGCUGGGGUUUCUGUAAGUUCUCUGAGAUGGCUUGGGUUUCUGUAAGUUCUCUGAGAUGGCUGGGGUUUCUGUAAGUUCUCUGAGAUGGCUGGGGUUUCUGUAAGUUCUCUGAGAUGGCUGGGGUUUCUGUAAGUUCUCUGAGAUGGCUGGGGUUUCUGUAAGUUCUCUGAGAUGGCUGGGGUUUCUGUAAGUUCUCUGCUUGGGUCUCUGUAUGUAACAGCCACUGCCAAAUGCCUGACUGCGUUUAUACAGAAAUAAUGCAUUAACUAUAAUCCACCUGCUACAUCCAAACACCCUCAUCCAAACUCUCAUUUCAGUUUGAUGUUCUCAAACUAAAGAGUGUGUGUGCAACCUGCCCUCCUUAUUGAAUGGACUGAAUACAGCAAACGCCCUCAGCAUUUAAACAUGUAUAUUUGACCUUUAUUUACCUAGGAAAGUCAGUUAAGAACAAAUUCUUAUUUACAAUGACGGCCUAGGAACAGUGGGUUAACUGCCUUGUUCAGGGGCAGAACGACAGAUAUUUACUUUGUCAGUUCGGGGAUUCGAUCUAGCAACCUUUCAGUUUCUGGCCCAAUGCUCUAAACACUAGGCUACCUGCUCUAACCACUAGGCUACCUGCUCUAACCACUAGGCUACCCUGCCUCUAACCACUAGGCUACCCUGCCUCUAACCACUAGGCUACCCUGCCUCUAACCACUAGGCUACCCUGCCUCUAGCCACUAGGCUACCCUGCCUCUAACCACUAGGCUACCCUGCCUCUAACCACUAGGCUACCCUGCCUCUAGCCACUAGGCUACCCUGCCUCUAGCCACUAGGCUACCCUGCCUAGAGCUACCCUGCCUCUAACCACUAGGCUACCCUGCCUCUAGCCACUAGGCUACCCUGCCUAGAGCUACCCUGCCU